rnacentral:rRNA from 1 species
UACGUACGAGGCGAGCGUUAUCCGGAAUUACUGGGCGUAAAGCGCGCGCAGGUGGCUUGCUAAGUCGGACGUGAAAUCUCCCGGCCUAACUGGGAGGGGUCGUCCGAGACUGGCCGGCUUGAGGCUGGCAGAGGUAGGUGGAAUUCCCGGUGUAGCGGUGAAAUGCGUAGAUAUCGGGAGGAACGCCGGUGGCGAAAGCGACUGUCUGGGGUGCAUGUGACGCUGAGGCGCGAAAGCCAGGGGAUCAAACGGG